rnacentral:ncRNA from 1 species
AUAAAAGAAUAUUUGCCAAUAUAGUUUUGGAUAUAAGGCCCAAAAGUUUCUACCGUGACGCCGAUAAGUCACGACUAUUGGUUGCAUU